rnacentral:rRNA from 1 species
CCUACGGGAGGCAGCAGUGGGGAAUAUUGGUCAAUGGACGCAAGUCUGAACCAGCCAUGCCGCGUGCAGGAUGACGGUCCUAUGGAUUGUAAACUGCUUUUGCACAGGAAGAAACACUCCGACGUGUCGGAGCUUGACGGUACUGUGAGAAUAAGGAUCGGCUAACUCCGUGCCAGCAGCCGCGGUAAU